rnacentral:rRNA from 1 species
AAUACGUUCCCGGGCCUUGUACACACCGCCCGUCACACCACGAAAGUCGGCAACACCCGAAGCCGGUGGCCCAACCCGUAAGGGAGGGAGCCGUCGAAGGUGGGGUUGGUGAUUGGGGUG